UUAAGCGACUAAGCGUACACGGUGGAUGCCCUGGCAGUCAGAGGCGAUGAAGGACGUGCUAAUCUGCGAUAAGCGUCGGUGAGGUGAUAUGAACCGUUAUAACCGGCGAUUUCCGAAUGGGGAAACCCAGUGUGUUUCGACACACUAUCAUUAACUGAAUCCAUAGGUUAAUGAGGCGAACCGGGGGAACUGAAACAUCUAAGUACCCCGAGGAAAAGAAAUCAACCGAGAUUCCCCCAGUAGCGGCGAGCGAACGGGGAGGAGCCCAGAGCCUGAAUCAGUGUGUGUGUUAGUGGAAGCGUCUGGAAAGGCGCGCGAUACAGGGUGACAGCCCCGUACACAAAAAUGCACAUAUUGUGAGCUCGAUGAGUAGGGCGGGACACGUGGUAUCCUGUCUGAAUAUGGGGGGACCAUCCUCCAAGGCUAAAUACUCCUGACUGACCGAUAGUGAACCAGUACCGUGAGGGAAAGGCGAAAAGAACCCCGGCGAGGGGAGUGAAAAAGAACCUGAAACCGUGUACGUACAAGCAGUGGGAGCCUCUUAAUGGGGUGACUGCGUACCUUUUGUAUAAUGGGUCAGCGACUUAUAUUCUGUAGCAAGGUUAACCGAAUAGGGGAGCCGAAGGGAAACCGAGUCUUAACUGGGCGUUAAGUUGCAGGGUAUAGACCCGAAACCCGGUGAUCUAGCCAUGGGCAGGUUGAAGGUUGGGUAACACUAACUGGAGGACCGAACCGACUAAUGUUGAAAAAUUAGCGGAUGACUUGUGGCUGGGGGUGAAAGGCCAAUCAAACCGGGAGAUAGCUGGUUCUCCCCGAAAGCUAUUUAGGUAGCGCCUCGUGAAUUCAUCUCCGGGGGUAGAGCACUGUUUCGGCAAGGGGGUCAUCCCGACUUACCAACCCGAUGCAAACUGCGAAUACCGGAGAAUGUUAUCACGGGAGACACACGGCGGGUGCUAACGUCCGUCGUGAAGAGGGAAACAACCCAGACCGCCAGCUAAGGUCCCAAAGUCAUGGUUAAGUGGGAAACGAUGUGGGAAGGCCCAGACAGCCAGGAUGUUGGCUUAGAAGCAGCCAUCAUUUAAAGAAAGCGUAAUAGCUCACUGGUCGAGUCGGCCUGCGCGGAAGAUGUAACGGGGCUAAACCAUGCACCGAAGCUGCGGCAGCGACACUAUGUGUUGUUGGGUAGGGGAGCGUUCUGUAAGCCUGUGAAGGUGUACUGUGAGGUAUGCUGGAGGUAUCAGAAGUGCGAAUGCUGACAUAAGUAACGAUAAAGCGGGUGAAAAGCCCGCUCGCCGGAAGACCAAGGGUUCCUGUCCAACGUUAAUCGGGGCAGGGUGAGUCGACCCCUAAGGCGAGGCCGAAAGGCGUAGUCGAUGGGAAACAGGUUAAUAUUCCUGUACUUGGUGUUACUGCGAAGGGGGGACGGAGAAGGCUAUGUUGGCCGGGCGACGGUUGUCCCGGUUUAAGCGUGUAGGCUGGUUUUCCAGGCAAAUCCGGAAAAUCAAGGCUGAGGCGUGAUGACGAGGCACUACGGUGCUGAAGCAACAAAUGCCCUGCUUCCAGGAAAAGCCUCUAAGCAUCAGGUAACAUCAAAUCGUACCCCAAACCGACACAGGUGGUCAGGUAGAGAAUACCAAGGCGCUUGAGAGAACUCGGGUGAAGGAACUAGGCAAAAUGGUGCCGUAACUUCGGGAGAAGGCACGCUGAUAUGUAGGUGAAGCGACUUGCUCGUGGAGCUGAAAUCAGUCGAAGAUACCAGCUGGCUGCAACUGUUUAUUAAAAACACAGCACUGUGCAAACACGAAAGUGGACGUAUACGGUGUGACGCCUGCCCGGUGCCGGAAGGUUAAUUGAUGGGGUUAGCGGUAACGCGAAGCUCUUGAUCGAAGCCCCGGUAAACGGCGGCCGUAACUAUAACGGUCCUAAGGUAGCGAAAUUCCUUGUCGGGUAAGUUCCGACCUGCACGAAUGGCGUAAUGAUGGCCAGGCUGUCUCCACCCGAGACUCAGUGAAAUUGAACUCGCUGUGAAGAUGCAGUGUACCCGCGGCAAGACGGAAAGACCCCGUGAACCUUUACUAUAGCUUGACACUGAACAUUGAGCCUUGAUGUGUAGGAUAGGUGGGAGGCUUUGAAGUGUGGACGCCAGUCUGCAUGGAGCCGACCUUGAAAUACCACCCUUUAAUGUUUGAUGUUCUAACGUUGGCCCCUGACCGGGGUUGCGGACAGUGUCUGGUGGGUAGUUUGACUGGGGCGGUCUCCUCCUAAAGAGUAACGGAGGAGCACGAAGGUUGGCUAAUCCUGGUCGGACAUCAGGAGGUUAGUGCAAUGGCAUAAGCCAGCUUGACUGCGAGCGUGACGGCGCGAGCAGGUGCGAAAGCAGGUCAUAGUGAUCCGGUGGUUCUGAAUGGAAGGGCCAUCGCUCAACGGAUAAAAGGUACUCCGGGGAUAACAGGCUGAUACCGCCCAAGAGUUCAUAUCGACGGCGGUGUUUGGCACCUCGAUGUCGGCUCAUCACAUCCUGGGGCUGAAGUAGGUCCCAAGGGUAUGGCUGUUCGCCAUUUAAAGUGGUACGCGAGCUGGGUUUAGAACGUCGUGAGACAGUUCGGUCCCUAUCUGCCGUGGGCGCUGGAGAACUGAGGGGGGCUGCUCCUAGUACGAGAGGACCGGAGUGGACGCAUCACUGGUGUUCGGGUUGUCAUGCCAAUGGCACUGCCCGGUAGCUAAAUGCGGAAGAGAUAAGUGCUGAAAGCAUCUAAGCACGAAACUUGCCCCGAGAUGAGUUCUCCCUGACUCCUUGAGAGUCCUGAAGGAACGUUGAAGACGACGACGUUGAUAGGCCGGGUGUGUAAGCGCAGCGAUGCGUUGAGCUAACCGGUACUAAUGAACCGUGAGGCUUAACCUU
rnacentral:rRNA from 1 species